rnacentral:lncRNA from 1 species
GGCCCACAAGCAUAAACGCCACCGGCAACGGAAGUUCCCAAAAUCCAAACAAAUGUUGGAAGAUAUUUUUAAGUUUCCACAUCUUUCUUACUUUCCUAUAUGAAAAUAAAAUUGGACUACACCAACAAAGGUUAUGUGUUUUGCACCAGAUUGAAAGCAUCAUAGCGAAAAACGGACCUGUCAUAUCUUUAAAUUUUCAAAAGAGCCCCUGGAAAAAGAAAAAUGAAUAUCUUUGCCAAGGAAUAGGUACUAAGGCAAAUGGAUAAAAAACCUUCAGUCCAUGCAUUGGUAUGUAAUUGUUGACAAAAAUACAAUGAAUGGCCUCACUACUUUUCCACAUGCAAAGAGGUUAACCAAGGAGAAAUUAAAGAAAUUGUCAAAAACCUAGGUAAAUACAGAAUUGCUUAGUACAAACAUAUCUAUACCCAGUACAAGUUCGUCCACUUCUUUGAAGCAUGGUACUUCAAACAGAGACACUGUCAACAAUUUUGUAGAAGGUGAGCCGGUGUCAAAUUCCAGUAAGGGACAUGAUUUCAAUUUUGCACCAACAGCAGAGCUAAAAUUCAUUUUGUCGCAAAAAACUGGAGGAUGUGAAAGAAAAAAGUGCAGAAGUUAAAAUUAAGUUUUUCAUAUGAGCACAUAAAAAAUAAUCAUGACAAAGUUCAGUUGUAUACAGGUUUGACAUGUAAUAAAUAUUUUUGUAAUCUUAUUAAGUUAAUUAGUUUUAUACAUUAUUUAAAUAAUAAUUGUAUACUUCACAUAGAAUAUGCAGAAAUUAUAUGUACAUAUAUAAUUUUUUUUAUUAAGAUAAGGACAACAUGUAUUAAAGCAUAACACAUAAUAUAGACACACACGUAAUAUCUUCAUUAAAAAUUAUGAUUGUAUGUUAUGUAGCAUUAGAGCCUAAAAACAUUAAGGAGAAUAAAGGUCGUUAUUGGCAAAUGACAAUAUUAUUUUCUCUAUUUCCUACAUUUUUGGUGAAGGGAAUAGGCUCUGCCCUAAAAAGCCAGGUUAAACCAAGAGCAAAAAAGUUUAGGUCUCAUGAGUGUAAGUAAAGUAAACCUUUCUAUUAAAAAGGCCAUCCAAGAUAAAAAAAAAUAUACUAAAAAUAUUAAUGUUAAUUCUUUAGCGACAUCUAGGGUGGAUAUGCUGAAUCAACUCAUCAAUUAAUUCACUGUCGUACUGAUGAAAGUUAUGGCGUAUUCACCAAAGUAU